rnacentral:rRNA from 1 species
CGUAUACUAAAGUUGUUGCAGUUAAAAAGCUCGUAGUUGAAUUUCUGGUCUCGGACAUCGGUCUGCCUCGAACGAGGUACGUACCAGUUGUCUGCAUCCAUCCUCGGGGAAAACAUGUCUGGCAUUCAGUUGUUGGGCAUGGGAUCCUCGUCAUUUACUGUGAGCAAAAUAGAGUGUUCAAAGCAGGCUUAUGCCGUUGAAUACAUUAGCAUGGAAUAAUAAGAUAGGACCUUGGUCUAUUUUGUUGGUUUGUACUCCAAGGUAAUGAUUAAUAGGGAUAGUUGGGGGUAUUCGUAUUCAAUUGUCAGAGGUGAAAUUCUUGGAUUUAUGGAAGACGAACUACUGCGAAAGCAUUUACCAAGGAUGUUUUCAUUAAUCAAGAACGAAAGUUAGGGGAUCGAAGAUGAUUAGAUACCAUCGUAGUCUUAACCAUAAACUAUGCCGACUAGGGAUUGGUGGACGUUUGUAACGACUCCAUCAGCACCUUAUGAGAAAUCAAAGUCUUUGGGUUCCGGGGGGAGUAUGGUCGCAAGGCUGAAACUUAA